CCUAGAGUGCAGGCUCAGUAGUUGUGGCGCAUGGGCUUAGUUGCUCUGCGGCAUGUGGGAUCUUCCCAGACCAGGGCUCGAACCAUGUCCCCUGCAUUGGCAGGCAGAGUCUUAACCACUGCAGCACCAGGGAAGUCCCCACACAUUCUUAUUUUUAUAUUCUUUUCCAUUACGGUUUAUCAUAGGAUACUGAAUAUAGUUCCCUGUGCUAUACAGUAGAACCUUGUUGUUUAUCUAUUCUAUAUAUAAUAGCUUACACCUGCUAACCUCAACCUCCCACUCAUCCCUCUCCCAUCCCCCUCUCCCUUGGCAACCACAAGUCUGUUUUUUAUGUCCAUGAGUCUGUUUGUUUCGUAGAUAAGUUCAUUUGUGUUAUAUUUUAGAUUCCACGUAUAAGUGAUAUCAUAUGGUAUUUGUCUAUUUCUUUGUUUUAAAAAAAUUUAUCUAUUUGGCCAUGCCAGGUCUUAGUUGUGGCAUGUGGGAUCUUUUAGUUGUGGCAUGUGGGAUCUUUAGUUGCGGCAUGUGUGAUCUAGUUCCUGACCAGGGAUCGAACCUGGGUCCCCUCCAUUGGCAGCACACAGUCUUAGCCACUGGACCACCAGGAAAGUCUCUCUCUUUCUCUUUCUGACUUAUUUCACUUUUUAUGAUAAUCUCUACAUCCAUCCAUGUUGCUGCAAAUGGCAUUAUUUCGUUUUUUUAAUGGCUGAAUAGUAUCCCAUUGUAUAUAUGUACCAUAUCUUCUUUGUCUAUUCAUCUGUUGAUAGACAUUUAGGUUGUUUCCAUGUAUUGGGUAUUGUGAAUAGUGCUGCUGUGAACAUAGGGGUGCAUGUAUAUUUUUGGAUUAUAGUUUUGUCUGAAUAUAUGCCCAGGAGUGGGAUUGCUGGAUCAUCUGGUAGCUCUGUUUUUAGUUUUCUGAGGAACCUUCAUACUCUUUUCCAUAGUGGCUGUACCAGCUUACAUUCCUACCAACAGUGCAAGCGGGUUCCCUUUUCUCCACACCCUCUCCAGCAUUUAUUAUUUGUAGACAUUUUUUUUUUUUUUUUUUUUUUUUUUUUUUUUUUUUUGCGGUACGCGGGCCUCUCACUGCCGUGGCCUCUCCCGUUGCGGAGCACAGGCUCUGGACGCGCAGGCUCAGCGGCCAUGGCUCACGGGCCCAGCUGCUCUGCAGCACGUGGGAUCUUCCUGGACUGGGGCACGAGCCCGUGUCCCCUGCAUCGGCAGGCAGACUCUCACCCACUGUGCCACCAGGGAAGCCCUAGACUUUUUAAUGAUGGCCAUUCUGACUGGCGUGAGAUGGUACCUCACUGCAGUUUUGAUUUGCAUUUCUCUAAUAAUUAGCGAUGCUAAGCAUCUUUUCAUGCACCUGUUGGCCAUCUGUAUGUCUUUUUUGGAGAAAUGUCUCUUUAGGUCUUCUGCCCAUUUUUUGAUUGGGUUGUUUGGUUUGUUGUUGUUGAGUUGUAUGAGCUGUUUGUAUAUGUUGGAAAUUAAGCCCUGUCAGUCACAUCGUUUGCAAAUAUUUUCUCCCAUUCUAUAGGUUUUUCUUUCAUUUUGUUUAUGGUUUCCUUUUCUCUGCAGAAGCGUGUAAGUUUGAUUAGGUCCCAUCUGUUUAUUUUUGUUUUUAUUUCUUUUGCCUUGGGAGAUUGACCUAAGAAAACAUUGGUACAAUUUAUGUCAGAGAAUGUUUUGCUUAUGAUCUCUUCUAGGAGUUUUAUGGUGUCAUGUCUUAUGUUUAAGUUUUUAAGCCACUUUGAGUUUAUUUUUGUGUAUGGUGAGAGGGUGUGUUCUAACUUCAUUGAUUUACAUGCAGCCGUCCAGCUUUCCCAAUACCACUUGCUGAAGAGACUGUCUUUUUCCCAUUGUAUAUUCUAUUUUUU